CGCUGACGCUGCGUCUCGCGCACGUCGACGGCCCGCGCCGCAGCCGCAACAGCGGCACGCGCGCGCGCCAACCGAUAGAGGUUCCACAUGCACGGCUGCACCGCGACGAGCGCGUGAGCGACCAGCGUGAGCGCAUAGUUGACCGGCUGGCCGCACUGGUCGAGCACGCUGUACUGCAGCGCCUGGAGGGUCUCCAUGAGCGCGUAAAAGGCGUACGGAUAGACGAGCGGCGGUACGCGCGCGGUCUCGACGCCACGGCGCCGAAUCACGAGCCAUGCGACGAUGGCCCAGCCGCCGAUGGCCAGAACGGCCGACAUGGGUUGCGAGUAGCACAUUGCUCCUGGUUGCGAUGAGAUCCCACCCGGCGUGUCUGUCUUCUCUUUCUCUUGUCUCCUUGUUGUCGUCCCGGUUGGUGCCUCUCUCUUUUGGUUUUUUUUUGGUGUUUUGCCUGUUUCCUGUCUCUUCCUGACGCCGUCGGCUAUCUUGUUGCGGGUCCUCCCUUUUUCCCACAAUCCCGGGGCGUCGUAAAGAUCUCCCGGUUGCCUUUUUUUGUUCGUACCUCUCUCCCUUUUUCCUUUGUGUCUGCCGCGCUCGUGCUCCUUGUUGUGUGUUGGCGACGCAAAACAGCCAAAGGAAGAAAAGACGACAAAAUACAGUAUAGGGAUGUCAAGAGAUUGCCCCCUUUACCGCGUCGUUGUUGG
rnacentral:lncRNA from 1 species